UACAGAGGGUGCGAGCGUUAAUCGGAAUUACUGGGCGUAAAGCGCGCGUAGGCGGCUUUGCAAGUCGAGUGUGAAAUCCCCCAGGCUUAACCUGGGAACUGCAUUCGAGACUGCAUAGCUAGAGUAUGGGAGAGGGAAGUGGAAUUUCAGGUGUAGCGGUGAAAUGCGUAGAUAUCUGAAGGAACAUCAGUGGCGAAAGCGACUUCCUGGACCAAUACUGACGCUCAUGUGCGAAAGCGUGGGGAGCAAACAGG
rnacentral:rRNA from 1 species